rnacentral:rRNA from 1 species
CCCAAAGUGGUAUUGCACAAGCAACGGCGAGUGAAGCGGCAACAGCUCAAAUUUGAAAGCUAGCCUUCGGGUUCGCAUUGUAAUUUGUAGAGGAUGAUUUGGGGAAGCCGCCUGUCUAAGUUCCUUGGAACAGGACGUCAUAGAGGGUGAGAAUCCCGUAUGUGACAGGAAAUGGCACCCUAUGUAAAUCUCCUUCGACGAGUCGAGUUGUUUGGGAAUGCAGCUCUAAAUGGGAGGUAAAUUUCUUCUAAAGCUAAAUAUUGGCGAGAGACCGAUAGCGCACAAGUAGAGUGAUCGAAAGAUGAAAAGCACUUUGGAAAGAGAGUUAAAAAGCACGUGAAAUUGUUGAAAGGGAAGCGCUUGCAAUCAGACUUGUUUAAACUGUUCGGCCGGUCUUCUGACCGGUUUACUCAGUUUGGACAGGCCAGCAUCAGUUUCGGCGGCCGGAUAAAGGCUCUGGGAAUGUGGCCUCCACUUCGGUGGAGGUGUUAUAGCCCAGGGUGUAAUACGGCCAGCCGGGACUGAGGUCCGCGCUUCGGCUAGGAUGCUGGCGUAAUGGUUGUAAGCGACCCGUCUUGAAACACGGACCAAAA